GGCUGGGUUAGUUAACUUAUAACGUUAAAUUGUCAAUUUAAAAUUAACCAUAAAUUACCUCCU
rnacentral:tRNA from 1 species